GAUGAAGAACGUAGCGAAAUGCGAUAAGUAGUGUGAAUUGCAGAAUUCAGUGAAUCAUCGAAUCUUUGAACGCACAUUGCGCCCCUUGGUAUUCCAUGGGGCACGCCUGUUCGAGCGUCAUUUGUACCUUCAAGCUCUGCUUGGUGUUGGGUGUUUGUCUCGCCUCUGCGUGUAGACUCGCCUCAAAACAAUUGGCAGCCGGCGUAUUGAUUUCGGAGCGCAGUACAUCUCGCGCUUUGCACUCAUAACGACGACGUCCAAAAGUACAUUUUUACACUCUUGACCUCGGAUCAGGUAGGGAUACCCGCUGAACUUAAGCAUAUCAAUAAGCGGAGGA
rnacentral:misc_RNA from 1 species